CCUACGGGAGACAGCAGUGGGGAAUAUUGGGCAAUGGGCGCAAGCCUGACCCAGCAACGCCGCGUGAAGGAAGAAGGCUUUCGGGUUGUAAACUUCUUUUCUCAGGGAAGAAGCAAGUGACGGUACCUGAGGAAUAAGCCACGGCUAACUACGUGCCAGCAGCCGCGGUAAUACGUAGGGGGCAAGCGUUAUCCGGAUUUACUGGGUGGAAAGGGCGGGUUGGCGGGACUGCAAGUCAGAUGUGAAAACCACGGGCUCAACCUGUGGUCUGCAUUUGAAACUGUAGUUCUUGAGUACUGGAGAGGAAGACGGAAUUCCUAGUGUAGCGGUGAAAUGCGUAGAUAUUAGGAGGAACACCAGUGGCGAAGGCGGUCUGCUGGACAGCAACUGACGCUGAGGCGCGAAAGCGUGGGGAGCAAACAGGAUUAGAUACCCCAGUAGUC
rnacentral:rRNA from 1 species